CGCCCGCGGACAAUGGCAGCCGUCCGCGCUCCGGCGGGUAAAGGAGGGGAGAGGAAAGGGGGGGGAAAAAAAGUCCUUCGUCCUCAGCGGGAGAGACUUUAAGCGCGGCCCCUCGCUGCCCCGGGGCGAGUGUCGGUGGCCCACGCUCACCCAAACGCGAGGGCAGCCUUACCGCCUCCCUUUGCCCCUGGAAAAGAAAAAAAAGAGGAAAAAAAAAAAAAAGAAAAGAAAACGCCGCGUGACACCGCUGCACAAACGCACGGCAUCGGCUGUGUCUCACACGGCGGGGAGAUGAAGAUGCAGUCUUUUCCGUGUGGGGGGGCUGAAUAGGAGAGUUAAAGAUUGUUAAGGGCUGAAGGGUGACCGUUGACCGUUGCCCUUCAAAGUCCGCGUGAAUGCCGUGGUGCAGAAAUCCCACCUUGGCAGAAGGGCUUUGUGUUUUUACAGGAGGCAGUGAUGGCAAGCUGCACCCAGCGGGGGUAACGAUUGUUAUUUCUGAGGGAUGCGCAGCCCUAAGCGUUUGGUGGUCAUCCAGGGGUUACGCGUUGUCGCUGCUGAAAAAAAGAAACAACAAGAUCACGAGGCUGAAAGAGGUCAGGAGGUCAUCUAUGUCCUCCCCCUCCUUGAAAGCAGGACGCUCAACGCCUAUCUCACUGCUAAGACAUUGGUCUAACCUGUUCUUAAUGACCUGUGAUGAAGACAUCACAGCCUCCCAGGUCCCUGGGCCUGUGGGCUUUCUCCACUUGGUGAAGGAGAAAGUGUUUUUGACACUGAACAUCCUGCUUUGUCUGAGACCUUACGCUACUCCAUUUGCCAUGCAUACCAUGUGUCUCUGUGCAUCCCAGUGUGCCCAUCCCCAACAAGAUGGCAUUUCUCUUGUCAGAGGUCAGACCUGCCACUCUAACUUAAGGUUUUCAGACGCGCAUGUUUCAUUUCAUUAGAAACUGCACCAGAAACCACAUCUCCGAGGAUGAAAUGCCACCACCACCAGCAAGAGGAAAAAUAAACAAAUAAUCACUGUGCAGAAAGCAGAGCGCAGUACAGGAGAGCACAUUCUCUUUGGGGGAUCAGUGAGAGAAUUUUGAUUUCCUAUGAAAAAGACUCGAUAGGAGUAAACGAAUGGAGAACAUUUCAAUCACCCUGAUAUUCACUGGAUAAGCAACACUACCAGGCACACACAGUCCAGAAGGUUUCUGCAGUGCGUGGGAGAUUUCUGAUGCAGAUGUAAAAGGAGCCAAUGAGGAGAGGUGUACUGCUGGACCUUGUUCUUACAAACAAGGAAGGACUGGUUGGGAAAGUGAAGGCUGGGGGCAGCCCUGGAUGCAGCAACCAUGAGAUGGUGGAUUCCAGGAUCUUACAUGGAAGAAACAAGCCAAUUGGUAGGACUGAAACCCUGGACUUCAGGAGAGCCAACUUUGACCUCUUUAAGGACCUACUUGGAGAUAUCCUUUGGAUACUCGUGAUCCCAGACCUUUGACACUUCCAGUGUUUGCUAUCGAAACACUGCAAAAGUAAGGCAUUCUGACCAGCUUAGGACUUCUUCCUGAUUUUCAUCAUUCAAGUAUCCGAUCCUGUUUUUCAGGUCUGAAUGCAACCACAAAGGAGAGCGCCCGACCUCCCACCUUCUCAGCAUAAGCACCGUGUGCCUCACGACCCAUUUCCAAAUGCAUUUACAUUGACGCAGGGCCACGCAGAUGGACUCGCUGCACUUCUGCCCUGGUGGUCAGUGCAGCGCUGCUGAGCUGGGAGCAGGCCGGGCGGACACUGAACCCGCCCACGGCCGCUUAAUGAAUUCCAAAUCAGAGCAACGCUCACAGCUAAUAAUGUGACCCCACUCAUCUGCCAUCCCCCACCAGGACUACCCAAAUCCAGAUGUUAGGGACAAUUUGCCCAGAAUCCACCAAAGUCCCAAGACAUUCCUGAAGGAAAGCCAUUUUAAUUAUUCUUCCAGGGCUAAAUUAUCCUGCUCUGCAGUGCUUUCCAGCAGAUGAGGGUAAAACAACCCAGAAGAUAACAACGAAAAAGUACACAUUGCAAAUAGACUUCCAAAAUCACCCCAGAACUGCCCAGAACUACAUGAAAGUGGGCACAUGCUAAAGGAAAGAGACCUCUCUGUAUUACUGAAGACAAAAACUACAAGCUGCCAAGUUUAAUAUAUUUUUUCACUGAAAUUACUUUAACUGCAGAGUUCUUCUACAGCAUCUAAGGGGGAUGUCCACAGGCAAUGCUCCUGAAAAGUACGGCUCUCCUAUCAGCAGAUAAAAACAAACCUUUUU
ensembl:lncRNA